GGCUCAGGACGAACGCUGGCGGCGUGCCUAACACAUGCAAGUCGAACGGACGAGGGGAGCUUGCUCCCCAAGUUAGUGGCGGACGGGUGAGUAACACGUGAGCAACCUGCCCUUCGGAGGGGGACAACAGCCGGAAACGGCUGCUAAUACCGCAUGACAUAUCCUUGAGGCAUCUCGGGGAUAUCAAAGAUUUAUCGCCGAAGGAUGGGCUCGCGUCUGAUUAGCUGGUUGGUGAGGUAACGGCUCACCAAGGCGACGAUCAGUAGCCGGACUGAGAGGUUGAACGGCCACAUUGGGACUGAGAUACGGCCCAGACUCCUACGGGAGGCAGCAGUGGGGAAUAUUGGGCAAUGGGGGCAAACCCCUGACCCAGCAACGCCGCGUGAAGGAAGAAGGCUUUCGGGUUGUAAACUUCUUUGACGAGGGACGAUAAUGACGGUACCUCGAAAACAAGCCACGGCUAACUACGUGCCAGCAGCUGC
rnacentral:rRNA from 1 species